rnacentral:snoRNA from 1 species
AAGCAGCAUCAGUACAGCGGAGGUGCCCCAUUGGCUCCAUGGCGCGUUCCGCUGGCGAUGCGGCGAGA